AAAUAAUUGCUUUGGAAUUUUUUUUUUGUCACGAGACUGUUCUAGGAAAUUGACGCUUUAAAGCCACAGUCUUUUUUUUUUAAAAAUCAAGACCCAAUUAAAUGAGAUCUAAAAUAUACUACGACAGUAUAUAUAUGAUAAAAUUAUUCAAAUUCAAAAUUACAAGUGAUCACAGCAGAUCCCUGAUUAAUUAAGCAUACUUUGACAAAACAGUGUAAAGAUUGAAGGUGAUCAGCAUUUGUUGUAUUUUGUUUGUUUGUUGUUAUAACUAUAAUUUACAGCAAUAUCUGUGUUUAAUGUUUUAUAUUCGUCAUUUCCCAUUGCCCACCAUUUGAAUUUCAAUUGGCUAUUCAACCAAGAACAUUACAUACAAAGUUGAAUCGGAGCAUGCAAAUCUGUAUCAGCUUUGUGAAUUCAUUUUGUUUCCCUUACAUUACUGUUAUGUUUCUCUGUCUCGAAGGAAAACACAAGAGUUCCAUUUAACAUAUAACAUCGAUACUAAAUUAACAUGCAUGAAUACAUCAGUACAAGUUACCUACUAGCAUAAACCGCCUGUCUCUAAACUUUGAUUAAUAAAGCUCUUACACUUUCCCCUCUCUCAACCCCCUCCCCCCAACCACCAAAUCCUUGCCCCAUGUGUAUAUAGAAGUUCUCAUUCGUUGACAGCAAGUAUAACUUGCUUCUAACUGUAGUUCAUGUGUACAAGGUCGUGACUGUUGUAGCCACUGCGUGGACUACCUUUUUUGGUAAAUCUCGUUUUCACUUUGUAUAAUGAUAAACUAUUAGCGGUUACUGGUGCUCUUGAUCACCUAGCUCUAGCAGUGUUGUGCUUUAUUCAAGUUUUAUUCACUUCUGUGAAUUUGAUAUAUAAUUAUUACUUAUAUAUAUAUAUUAUUAGAAUGCCAAAUUUUUUGUGCCUGUACUUUUCAAUUUGCUUGCAAUUAAAUUGCAUCAGU
rnacentral:sRNA from 1 species